CCUCUUAUGAAUAUAAUGAAGUUUGCAAUGAUAGCAGAAAAGAUUUCCUACACUGAAGAAGCUAACUGAACUGUAGACUGCUGCUGAAUUCGAUCAACAGGAGGACCCUAAAAGUCACAUUCCUGAAACAUAGAAGUUCUUCGAUUUCAGUAGUGCCUCUGAUUUCAAGGUUCUCGUUGUCUACCUUCUUUCAUGACUAUGUAAUGAGACCAGGGAUUGAUCUGUUUUUCUUAUCUCUACUACGCAGCCAACAGGUAUUAUACCUAGCUUCUAGCUGACAGACAUGGUGAUAGACUUGGAAAGCAUGUGAAGAAAGGCAGCAAAUCUUCCAAUCUGGAUCCUUAAAUGACUGUAUGAAGCAGAGUCACCAUUUGAUCAAACAAUAUGGUGAAAUAUUCUCAUUUGUGCAGCAAGGUAAAGUAACAACUGCUCCAGAUUACUGAGUGAGAAAUAUAAACUUCUUAUUCU